rnacentral:lncRNA from 1 species
CCGCCGGCCCCUCAUGGGACAGACUGUACGGCCCAGGCUCCUCCGGGCCUGGCCAGCGUGGUUAUUUAUAAGCCCUGGCUGCCUCCAGUGUGCCUGGAUCAGACUGGCUUGUUUGGGUCACCGGUGCCAAGUUUUUUCUUUCUUUUUCUUUUUUUCCAAUAAGAAUCUACGUCUGAGCAUGGACGGAAUCCCAGAAUCAAAUCACUGGAUCAAUACUUGGUCACCAAACACAUUCGAGACCUCAAAAGCUCAAAGGGUGUCUCCCCCUGUCACCCAGGCUGGAGUGCAGUGGCGCCAUCUCGGCUCACUGCAACCUCCACCUCCCGGGUUCAAGUGAUUCUCCUGCGUCAGCCUCCCGAGUAGCUGGGAUUACAGGCUGUAGGGUAGGUACCCUUGCUACCUACUCUACCUACAGACAAAGACGCUGAGAAAUCAGAUAACUUGUCCAAGGUCAUGGACAGCUGGGACUAGACCCAUGGCUUGUCACACUCUACCAGCCUUAUUCUUAACCUCUCUGCCUGAUGCCUCUUGACCCACAUUCGACUUUGAAAAAGUUUUCGCACUUGGUUCAUCGGAAAAAGCCACACACAGCUGCCCGGAGGACUCUGUUAAUCAGUAGCUGGUUGCUUCUGGCCCAGUGGGCAACAUCAGAGGCAGAAAGUACAGUACAGAGAGAACCGCAGGCCAGCAGUUGCAUCUGAACCCACGCUCUUCCUCCCAGCCCUUUCCCUUGUCUUGACUCACAACCUAGUGUCCUCAGUAUCGCCCAGCACGUGAGGCAGCCGGUUCACUCCAGCCUUGACCAGGGCCAUCGCGGGAUCAGAGCCUCCUCUGUGAGAAUUAGAAAACAGUAUCUCUUCCUCAAGACCCUUGACUGCUAGGAAAUUGACACCAAAAACAUACAAAUCUACAAUGUCCAGUAUGUAGGUGAUGUGAAUGGCUGUCUCUUCAGUGUGCAGUGUGUACACCCUGCGCACCUAUACAAGGCAGCCCUGUCCAGGCCUCCAGACGUCCCAGUGCCACUGCCUGCUGUCAUGGGGUUCUAAUCUAAAGGGUGAGAUGCCAGUCCCGGGAGAAGGCUAAUGAUGAAAGGUUCCAGGAUAAAGGUUAAUAUACAAAAGUCAAUUACUUUCCUAAUGCCAGCAAUAAAGUGGAAUUUGAAAGUAAAAACAUAUUACCAUUUACAUUAGCAUCCCUCAGAAUUAAGGCCAGGCACAGUGGUUCACACCUGUAAUCCCAGAGUUUGGGAAACUGAGGCAGGUGGAUCACUUGAGGUCAGGAGUUUGAGACCAGCCUG